rnacentral:rRNA from 1 species
ACUCCUACGGGAGGCAGCAGUGGGGAAUAUUGCACAAUGGGCGCAAGCCUGAUGCAGCCAUGCCGCGUGUAUGAAGAAGGCCUUCGGGUUGUAAAGUACUUUCAGCAGUGAGGAAGGUGGAGUCGUUAAUAGCGGCCUCAUUUGACGUUAGCUGCAGAAGAAGCACCGGCUAACUCCGUGCCAGCAGCCGCGGUAAUACGGAGGGUGCGAGCGUUAAUCGGAAUUACUGGGCGUAAAGCGCGCGUAGGUGGCUUGAUAAGCCGGUUGUGAAAGCCCGCUGCCAACCUGGGAACGGCAUCCGGAACUGUCAAGCUAGAGUGCAGGAGAGGAAGGUAGAAUUCCCGGUGUAGCGGUGAAAUGCGUAGAGAUCGGGAGGAAUACCAGUGGCGAAGGCGGCCUUCUGGACUGACACUGACACUGAGGUGCGAAAGCGUGGGUAGCAAACAGGAUUAGAUACCCUGGUAGGCU